rnacentral:rRNA from 1 species
GACGAACGCUGGCGGCGUGCUUAACACAUGCAAGUCGAGCGGAGCGGCGAACGGGUGAGUAACGCGGGAGUAACUGCCCCCCUCUCUGGGAUAACAGAUGGAAACGGCUGCUAAUACCGGAUAGUGGGGGAUGACUCGCGUCCGAUCAGCUUGUUGGUGGGGUAGUGUCCUGCCAAGGCGACGACGGGUCGCCGGCCUGAGAGGGCGAACGGCCACAGUGGGCUGAGAGACGGUCCAAACUCCGACGGUAGGCAGCAGUGGGGAAUAUUGCGCAAUGGGGGAAACCCUGAUGCAGCAACGCGCGUGCGGGAUGACGGCCUUCGGGUUGUAAACCGCUUUCAGCCAUGACGCGGUAGUGGCAGAAGAAGCACCGGCUAACUACGUGCCAGCCGCCGCGGUAAUUC